CGUUAUUCGUAUAAUAUUUAAAGACAACAUUAUAUUAUUAAGUAGGGUACACACCAUUAAAAUAUUUAAAUUGUACGAACUUUCGAAAUAUAGUUCAAAUAAUAAAUAAUAUUCUGAAAUAUUUAUUAUAAACGGCUUUCGUACAGCGAACUGAUUAAAACGAAGAAAAUAGCUCGUUAAACGCAACUUAUUAAAAAUUAAAUAAGCACUAAAAACAUUUAAGAGAUGAGGAAGGAGAGUACGUCCGGUGGGUUCUAUAUCAUUCAACGAUUUUGAUUAAAAUAUAUUCGAAAUAUUACCCUGCACCUACGCUGUAAACGUCACGUAUCAAUAAGGAAAACACUCACUUUUCGAAAUUGUUGAACAGAGAGGGGGGCGGGUUAAUAAUUAGGAAAUCGAAAGUUAAAGGAGCACCCAACUCACUACACAUUGUUUUAGGAAUUUAAGUACUAUAUAAAAAUUAAAAAUAAAUUGUUUAAUUUGAUUGGAUAACUUUUGAGUUACGGACUAACUUUAAGGGUUACGUCCUUACUACCCA